AACGAACGCUGGCGGCAGGCCUAACACAUGCAAGUCGAGCGCCCGGAUUUAUCCGGGAGCGGCGCACGGGUGAGUAACGCGUGGGAACAUGCCCUGAAGUACGGAACAACCUGGGGAAACCUUGGCUAAUACCGUAUACGCCCUGAGGGGGAAAGAUUUAUCGCUUUGGGAUUGGCCCGCGUUGGAUUAGCUGGUUGGUGUGGUAACGGCGCACCAAGGCGACGAUCCAUAACUGGUCUGAGAGGAUGACCAGUCACACGGGGACUGAGACACGGCCCAGACUCCUACGGGAGGCAGCAGUGGGAAAUAUUGGACAAUGGGCGAAAGCCUGAUCCAGCCAUGCCGCGUGAGUGAAGAAGGCCUUCGGGUUGUAAAGCUCUUUCAGCGGGGACGAUGAUGACGGUACCCGCAGAAGAAGCCCCGGCUAACUUCGUGCCAGCAGCCGCGGUAA
rnacentral:rRNA from 1 species